AUGAAUGAUAAUGUCAACCCUGACAGCCUCUUUGACGAUGAGUAUUACCUGUUUGCUGGUGAAGGCUCAGAUGCUGAUGACAUGGAGCACGACGAAUUGGAAGACUCAAGUCAAAAUACCUAUGUCGACCAUGAUCCAUUGGACUAUGUCUACUCAAACCUCCCAGACCACACACACAUCCUGAAGCACACCGCAAAUUGCGAUCAGUGCAAGGCCAAGAAGUUUGUGUCCGAGGCCCCGAGAUUCUGCUGUCGAAGUGGGCAGAUCCAACUGAAGCAACCGGAGCCCAUCCCGGAGCUAAUGAGGCUUUGGUCUAGCAUGGAUGCGGACUCAAGGCAUUUUCGGGAGAACAUACAGUUCUUCAAUAGCCACUUCUCCUUCACAACCCUCGGAGUCAGCCUUGAAAAGCUACACAAACAUGAAGUCUAG
rnacentral:rRNA from 1 species